AAACACACAGCGCCCACACAUCACCCAAACAGCACCCAAACACUCAGCGCCCAAACACACAGCGCCCACUCAGUGCCCAAAUACACAGUGCCCACUCAGCCCCCAAAUACUCAGCCCCCAAACACAGCGUCCACUCAGCGCCCGCACAGCGCCCACACAGCACCCACUCAGUGCCCAAACAGCGCCCAUUCAGUGCCCACUCAGCGCCCAAACACACAGCGCCCACUCAGUGCCCAAACACUCAGCACCCAAACACACAGCAAACACACAGCGACUAAACACUCAGCACCCAAACACUCAGCAACCACACAGCAAACACACAGCUACUAAACACUCAGCACCCACACAGCGCCAAAACACUCAGCAUCCAAAUGCUCAGCUCCCACCACUCAGCACCCAAACACACAGCACCUAAGCACUCAGCACCCACUCAGCACCCAAACACACAGCACUCAAACACACAGCACCCACUCAGCACCCAAAUACUCAGCACUGAAACACUCAGCACCCACUUAGCACCCACUCAGUGACCAAACACACAGCACCCACUCAGCACCCAAACACAAAGCACCCGAACACUCAACGCCCAAACACUCAGUGCCCAAACACUCAGCACCCACUCAAUGCCCACACAGCACCCACUCAGUGCCCUCAGCGCCAACACACUCAGCGCCCAGACACUCAGCGCCCAAACACACAGCGCCCAAAAACUCAAUGCCCACAUAGUGCCCACUCAGUGCCCAAACACACAGCGCCCACUCAGCACCUAAACACUCAGCACCCAAACACUCAGCGCCCAAACACUCAGCACCCAAACAGCACUGAAACACUCAGCACCCAAACACUCAGCACCUAAACACUCAGCACCCACUCUGCACCCACACAGCACCCAAGCACUCAGCACCCAAACACUCAGCACUCACUCAGCGCCAAAACACUCAGCACCCAAACACUCAGCGCCCACUCAGUGCCCACUCAGCACCCAAACACACAGCACCCACUCAGCACCCACUCAGCGCCGAAACACUCAGCACCCAAACACACAGCACCUAAACACUAAGCACCCAAACACACAGCACCCAAACACUCAGCGCCAAAACACUCAGCACCCAAACACACAGCAGUUAAACACUCAGCACCCAAACACACAGCACCCACUCAGCGCCGAAACACUCAGCACCCACUCAGCACCCAAACACACAGCACCUAAACACUCAGCACCCAAACACUCCGCACCCACACAGCACCCAAGCACUCAGCACCCAAACACUCCACACCCACACAGCACCCAAGCACUCAGCACCCAAACACACAGCACCCACUCAGCACUCACUCAGCGCCAAAACACUCAGCACCCAAACACACAGCACCCAAACACUCAGCGCCCACUCAGUGCCCACUCAGCACCCAAACACACAGCACCCACUCAGCACCCACUCAGCGCCGAAACACUCAGCACCCAAACACACAGCACCUAAACACUCAGCACCCAAACACACAGCACCCAAACACUCAGCGCCAAAACACUCAGCACCCAAACACACAGCACCUAAACACUCAGCACCCAAACACACAGCACCCAAACACUCAGCGCUGAAACACUCAGCACCCACUCAGCACCCAAACACACAGCACCCAAACACUCAGCACUCACUCAGCGCCAAAACACUCAGCACCCAAACACACAGCACCCAAACACUCAGCGCCCACUCAGUGCCCACUCAGCACCCAAACACACAGCACCCAAACACUCAGCGCCCACUCAGUGCCCACUCAGCACCCAAACACACAGCACCCACUCAGCGCCGAAACACUCAGCACCCAAACACACAGCACCUAAACACUCAGCACCCAAACACACAGCACUCAAACACUCAGUGCCAAAACACUCAGCACCCAAACACACAGCACCCAAACACUCAGCGCUGAAACACUCAGCACCCACUCAGCAUCCAAACACACAGCACCUAAACACUCAGCACCCAAACACUCCGCACCCACACAGCACCCAAACACUCAGCACCCAAACACACAGCACCCAAACACUCAGCACCCAAACAUGGACCAGGUCACCUGCCUUGUAGGAAUUAAA
rnacentral:lncRNA from 1 species